rnacentral:lncRNA from 1 species
AUGAGGGAGAAAAUCCAGAAAAGUAGCAAAUGCAGCUUUCAACAUCCUCAAAGGCAUCUAAUUGUUCAGGACAUACUGAGUAUCUGCACUUACAGAAAUCAAGCCUCAAGUGGAACUCCCCUGAAAGCAAGGCACCGGGAAGCCAAGAUUAGUUUUCAGAAAUUACCAUCACAGAUGGCUUCCUGCAAUACAAAGAAGGCUCCUGGCAAGGCAGUUUGCUGGAUAACAUUCGAAUUGGAUGUGAUGGAAUUUCAAGGUGAGAUCAGUAUCUGGAACCAUGAUGCAAUUUAUGCUGUUAUCAUUUCAUGA